rnacentral:sRNA from 1 species
CGGAGCGCCUUUGGGCUCCGUCGUUUGAGGCGGGCGCCGGCAGGUGUCCGGCGCCGGCUCGUACCCAUCUUGCUCUUAGGAGGAUUUGGCUAUGAGGU